rnacentral:rRNA from 1 species
UAUAAAGUUCUGGAUAAAGCUUAUUAUGAAAACUUUAUAUCCAUAGGUCUCGACCAAAUCUUGUGCCAGCAGUCGCGGUAAGACAAGGGAGACGAGUGUUAUUCAUCUUUAACAGGUAUAUAGGGUACCUAGACGGUGUGCAAUGGCUUAAAUAAGUACCUGGUACACUUGAGUUUGAUAUGUGAGAGGAAUAUGUCGGAAUUGUUGGAGGAAAGAUGAAAUUUGUUAAUACCAAUAGGACUGAUAACGGCGAAGGCAAACCUCUAUGUACAUGUACUUGCUAUUUCUGUUUUUAUUAUAGCAAAAUAGCAAUGUACUAUAACUGACGUUGAGGGACGAAGGCUCAGAGAGUGAAGAGGAUUAGAUACCCCCGUAACCUGGGCAGACAAUGAUGAGUGCCAUAGGUUGGCUUUAAGGCGGAACUAUAAAUGAAAGUGGAAGCACUCCACCUCAAGAGUAAUGUU